CUCAUCGGUAAUAAGGCUUCAAAAUAGGGAGUCUUUUUUGGGGCUAUUGCAUGGGAUGUGGUAGUCACUAAUGGAAGCUUUGUGAUCCUCGCUAAGAUUAAAAUAGAGGAUUUCAAAAUUCCACUUUCCAUUACGAUCUUAGGCAUAUUUAUGCGCUUAAUAACCAGGUUAUUCCAUAUAUCUAGGGUGAAAACCAUGGAAAAGGAGUGUAAAAUGACACCAUGCAUGGGGUUGGAGAAAAAUACUCAAAAUUGCUAAGGAGAAAUGGCUAGGAAGCUGGAAUAAUACAUUGUGAAGGAGCACCUCCCCGAUGCGAAGCUGAAUACAGCAUGUGGAAAACUAAUUUGACAAACUAGUGGAAUGUGUGAUGGACACGCAUCGCGGUGUUGGCUCAUGAUAUUUGAAAUUUUAAGGGUGUAGACCUGGACCCUAGAUUUGCAUCACUUGUUUUACUUCACACUAUAGCCAAAUUAUUUUAUGGUUAUUCAACUUCUAGAAAAUGGUAAAACAUGAUUUGGGUGAUUUUGCUGACAUUCCCUAGGAUUUUCUUCUACUUUUUUGUAUUGGUAAACACUUGUACGAUCUUUGAACAUUAUUUGAUGAUGUUACAUACUAUAAGUAGCGAAAUUCCCUUAUUCUAGGGUUGUAUUUACGAUUAAUGGCUUAAUGGUGUUUAUUUCUAGCAUGAGAU
rnacentral:lncRNA from 1 species